rfam:Ordospora colligata OC4 contig_08, whole genome shotgun sequence.
GGGGGGUUAGCUCAGUGGUAGAGCGCUUGCUUAGCAUGUAAGAGGUCGCGGGUUCAACUCCCGCAUUCUCCA